CAGCCGCCGCGGGAAUACGAAGGGUGCAAGCGUUAAUCGGAAUUACUGGGCGUAAAGGGUGCGUAGGCGGUUGUUUAAGUCUGUUGUGAAAGCCCUGGGCUCAACCUGGGAAUUGCAGUGGAUACUGGGUCACUAGAGUGUGGUAGAGGAUAGUGGAAUUUCCGGUGUAGCAGUGAAAUGCGUAGAGAUCGGAAGGAACAUCUGUGGCGAAGGCGACUAUCUGGGCCAACACUGACACUGAGGCACGAAAGCGUGGGGAGCAAACAGGAUUAGAUACCCCAGUAGUCCCUGUCUCUUAUAC
rnacentral:rRNA from 1 species